CUGUUUGAUAUUUUGUAAUUGUUUGUUAUAUUUCAUUGUAUUUUAUGAGGGCCUCAGGGAAGAUUAGCUUUACAGCUAACUGUGUAACCCUCUUUAAAUAAAGAAUUAUUAUAUUAUUAUUAUUAUUAUUUCAUGAUGAAUGACACCUUAUAUUAUAAAAAAAUCAUGAGAUUUUUCUGUAAUUUUUCUCCCCACAAUAUAUUAAUCGUUUGUACUUGAUCUUCUUAGCUACUUAUUUUGUCUCAAAAUACUUUUUCAUUCCUCUAAUGUUUCUGUACAGUUGGAAGGCAAACGCCUGAAUCUGACAGAUAGAGGUCAAUUUGUCGACAAAAAAAGAACCCGUAUGUAAAAUGUUUACGCCCACAAACAGCGCCACCUAUAAUUUUUUCUACGGCAUCUUUGAGAACGAUGUCCCAUUCUGUAGUAAAUUAAAACAUUAAAUUAACUAAAACAUAGAAAAGUAAGUGUAAAACACAAAUUGAAAGAUAUAUUUGCAGAUGACUGUUUAUGCAUGAUACGCUGGCAAUGUGCGCAAUGUCCUUUAAUCCAAGACUGAAAAUUAGUUUGUUUCCUACGUCAAGAUGGCGGAUUUCAAUGUUUACAUUUUUGCACCUAUUUAUAAUCUGACAGAAUUUCGUAUCCAAUCAUUUAUUAGCAAUUUUAUUAUUGAUCUUUGAAGAUCAUCCAAUGGCAUUUGCCGUUAGAAAGUGGCUACACGUUACCAGCCGUCGUUACAAAGUAGCCAUGUGUUUUGUGGGGAUACCUUGGGAAUGUUGUGUAUUCAAAAGUUACGGUAAAAAUCAAUGUUAUCUUCCUUAUAUUUCCAUGCAUACACAAUUUAUAACAGCAAAUACAUUCUUAACAGACCCCAUAACGUAAACGGACAUAUUUAACUGUCUGCUUGAGCAAAAAUUCGUGUAAAUAAGCCUGAUGGGUCGUUUUCAAGAACAGCAGAAAAACACGUGGUAGAUUGUUUAUGUUUGACAGUUUGUUUACUUGAAUUGCACGUUGAUGUUACUAUAUACUUACCAAUAACCUUUAUCGUGUUAUACUUUCAAUAGUUAUAUAAUAAAUCUUACCCAAGAAAUACGUCUAGGUAGGUGCAGGGACUUCUUUUACUUGGUCCUUAACUAAUGAGGGUGUAAUGAUACAUUACAGCAUUUUUUGCAUUUGAUAUAUUUCAUGGACAUGUACAUUUUGUGUACACAAAGAACAAUAAAGUAAAUGAACGUACAUGGGUUUAAUUCCCACCCCUAGGAAUACAUUUUGACUCUCAUGACAGGUUGGAACAAAUAGAGCAGAUAGCAAUUGACAAUAAUGUAAUGCUAAAAUGCUGAUUGAUGGGGUCAAAUCAUCAACAUAAUUUUUUCUAGUAUACAGCAGCUCCUCUAAGGGUUAGUAAGGGUACUUUACUAAAAGUCCAGUGGCUAAGUCCUGUCUUUUUUGCCUCUGAUAUUUUCUAAUUUAUAUUAUAAUUUCUAAUAUUCUCUUGUGCAUGUAGUAAGGCAAAAGCUAUUGUUACUCUUAUUUUCCUCAUUUGCCUUAAAACAAUGGAAUGUAUUAAUUGUUGAUGUAUGUCAAGUGACUUGUAAUUUAACUGUCACUGCUAACAGAGACUUGGACUCUGGUGAUAAGUUUCCAGGCUGUUAUGUCAUUGGCAACUAUACCAUAAAUGUCAGUUUCCCCUUUAUAAGUUUUUAAGAAAAGAAUUUAAUUAUAAUAUAAUAAUAAGUUAAAAAAAAUUGUAAAAAGUUAAGCACAAGUGACAAAUCUAAUUGGCUUUUUAUUCAAGAAAACCUAGAGGCAUUGAAAAGUGACUGUGUUGCAAUUUAAAAUAAAUGGUUUGAACUCAGAAAGUUAUCAAUAUAUAUAGAGAGUACAGAUAAUGUUUUAAUUGGGCAUUUGGGAAUAUUUGCCUGUUAAUUGAAGAUAUAAUUAUUAUAUGCCUUUUCAAAUAUAUGUGUGGCUCUGAACUAGCUGUGGUUUAAAAUCUAAGAAUGGAGUUGGUUAUCUCCAUAUUUAUCUGAUUUAUAUCAACAUCAUUGAUCCAUUAUAUAUACACAUAUAUAAAUCAUUGUAAUACAUGUACAUUACUUUGCUCUUCAUAUGCCCUUUAAUUUGAAUAAAAAUAUCUUGUCUUAUACCACAAUUAUUUAUUUUUAGUACUGACAGGUUAACUUUUAAAAGCAUUUGUAAAGUAAGUGAGUUGAUGACAAGCUUAGUCAAUGAUUGUAAAUCCAGAUAAUAUCAUUUUUUUUUAUAAAAGUAAAUAAUGUGAUUAAACUGCAUGGUUAUCUCAAUUAAAAGAACUGACAUUCUGCUUUGAUACUAUGAGAUUAUUUCUGAUAUCAGAAUAAUAAAUUUCUUUUUGAACUUUGUCCUUUUUCAAAAAAAUUCUGAACAUACUGUAUUUUAAGUGAAGUCAGUUUUGUUUUUGUUUAAGACUACUAUAACAUGGGAGGUGACCACAAUCUCUAUGUUAUACAUUGAAGUAGUCUCAGGUUUUUGUAGUCCAAUUGACUAUCUAUUUUAGUGCAGGUAAAUGUGAAUUUGGAUUAAAUUUGAAGUUGAUUCAGUAUAUCUAAUGACAUAAUACCACUAUUUUAUUUCAACUAAGCAUUUUCAAAUUUUAUUUACUGGUCAGCUGAUGUUAUUAUCCAAUCAAUAAUUGAUUAUCAAGCACUUAACAGUUGGUUGCAGGACUUUUGAAUUCAAUUAUAAGAAAGAAGAAAAAAUAUAAAGCAAAACUUCAAAAUAUUAUACAUAUAACAGGAUUUAUGAUAACUGCAGGAUAUAUCAGAUUACAAUACAGCUUUUGUUCAGUGAUCUUUGUGUUGAUUAUUAUGUUUUAAAUCCCUUUCUGGUUCUUUGAAUGUUCAGAUUUUUUCUCUUGAUUAAGGCAAGCAACAGAACUUGUACAACUUAUGUAGUUUCUUAUCUCAGGGUGAAUCCAGAAAAUUUUAAACAUAAGUGGUGGUAUUCUCAACCAAGGAUAAAAAGGAGGGUUCCAACUAUAUGCAUGAUCCCAUUCAAAUGCAUUAAUCUUCCAUAAAAAGAGGAGGUUCCAAUCAUCAGACUCCCUGAGAUCUGCAACUGUAUCUUAAAGCAGCUAUAAUAAAACAAAAUUGUACAUGUACUUCUGGCUACUUCAGAUUGAUUUUAUUUUCAAUCUAUGGUAAUGGUCACAAUUUUGAAGACUAUAUACAUGUAUUUCCUUUUUCCCCAUAUUUUUGUUUAAAUGUAAUCUUCUGCUUCUGCUUCUAUUGUUACACAGGUUCUUCUGACAAAUGACUGAUAAACCCAUCUUGUAUCCUUCUACUAAAAGGGGUGUUUGAGAAUAUAUAUACAAUAUAUUCAAGUUUCAGAGAGUCAGUCUGAUAUAAAAUGUUGGUAAGUGUCUUCUUUGGAAGUGUUCAAAAACCUGUAAGAACUUGAACUUCCAUGACUAUUUUAAUGUUACAACAGUAGAGGAACAUGGAAUAUUGAAAGGUAUUCAAGAACUCGUCGAAAUAGAUCUGCAAUCAUUAAUUUUACUCAUAUUUACUAUUGUGAACUUGCAAUUUCCUACGAUGCGCGUACCGAGUUAUCUCCCUUUGAUCUCCGCUUCGCCACGAAUAAUCUGACAGAAUUGCGUAUCCGGGGUUUUUGUGAUCUAAUAUUGUACUAUUAGAAGCAAAAAAAUGGUUUUACUUCAUAUUUUAUACCUCUCAACACGUUACCAAACCUAUUUAAGGAUUUAUUAAGGAUUUUCCGUGGACCUACGCAAAUUUUCAGAAAAAAAGUUUCACUUCGCUCGUGAAUUUAUAACAUUUUUAACAAUACUUUUUUAUUAUAAAUUAUAUAAAAAUAAGAAAGCUUAUUCAAUCUAGAAUUGAACACUUUGGUUUUUAUUAAUGUACGAGUACAAAUAAGACGAUACGAGUCCAAAAACCACGAGGCAUGCACGUUCACAAAAAAAUCGUAAACUCUGACCUUUUAUCACGUGACCAAUGUCUUGAACUUAGAAGCCAUUAAAUCGUUUGCCGUUCAACAGGUAUUUGGUGGCAGAAGAUAACGGUUGUACAUUGUACUUUCACUUUUGU
rnacentral:lncRNA from 1 species